rnacentral:rRNA from 1 species
AGUUUGAUCAUGGCUCAGAUUGAACGCUGGCGGCGUGCUUAACACAUGCAAGUCGAUCGGUAACGCGGGGGCAACCCUGGCGACGAGAGGCGGACGGGUGAGGAACGCUUGGGAAUCUGCCCAUCAGCGGGGGACAACCCGGGGAAACUCGGGCUAAUACCGCAUACGCUCCACGGAGGAAAGCAGGGGACCGCAAGGCCUUGCACUGAUGGAUGAGCCCAAGUCGGAUUAGCUAGUUGGCGGGGUAACGGCCCACCAAGGCGACGAUCCGUAGCUGGUCUGAGAGGACGAUCAGCCACACCGGAACUGAGACACGGUCCGGACUCCUACGGGAGGCAGCAGUGGGGAAUAUUGGACAAUGGGGGAAACCCUGAUCCAGCGACGCCGCGUGGGUGAAGAAGGCCUGCGGGUUGUAAAGCCCUUUCGGUAGGGACGAAAGCUCUCGACCUAACACGUCGGGAGGUUGACUUAACCUACAUAAGAAGCACCGGCUAACUCUGUGCCAGCAGCCGCGGUAAUACAGAGGGUGCGAGCGUUAAUCGGAAUUACUGGGCGUAAAGCGCACGUAGGCGGCUUUGCAAGUCGGUUGUGAAAUCCCCGGGCUCAACCUGGGAACUGCAUCCGAAACUGCAUUGCUAGAGUAUGGGAGAGGGAAGCGG